GAUGAACGCUGGCGGCGUGCCUAAUGCAUGCAAGUCGAGCGAACGGACGAGAAGCUUGCUUCUCUGAUGUUAGCGGCGGACGGGUGAGUAACACGUGGAUAACCUACCUAUAAGACUGGGAUAACUUCGGGAAACCGGAGCUAAUACCGGAUAAUAUUUUGAACCGCAUGGUUCAAAAGUGAAAGACGGUCUUGCUGUCACUUAUAGAUGGAUCCGCGCUGCAUUAGCUAGUUGGUAAGGUAACGGCUUACCAAGGCAACGAUGCAUAGCCGACCUGAGAGGGUGAUCGGCCACACUGGAACUGAGACACGGUCCAGACUCCUACGGGAGGCAGCAGUAGGGAAUCUUCCGCAAUGGGCGAAAGCCUGACAGAGCAACGCCGCGUGAGUGAUGAAGGUCUUCGGAUCGUAAAACUCUGUUAUUAGGGAAGAACAUAUGUGUAAGUAACUGUGCACAUCUUGACGGUACCUAAUCAGAAAGCCACGGCUAACUACGUG
rnacentral:rRNA from 1 species